CUACAAUGAAUUGAGGGGCCCGCACAAGCGGUGGAGCAUGUGGUUUAAUUCGACGCAACGCGAAGAACCUUACCAGGGCUUGACAUCCCCUGACCGCGUAUGAAAGUACGUUUUCACCUCGGGUGACAGGGAGACAGGUGGUGCAUGGUUGUCGUCAGCUCGUGUCGUGAGAUGUUGGGUUAAGUCCCGCAACGAGCGCAACCCCUAUUGUUAGUUGCCAUCAUUCAGUUGGGCACUCUAGCGAGACUGCCGGUAAUAAACCGGAGGAAGUGGGGAUGACGUCAAAUCAUCAUGCCCCUUAUGACCUGGGCUACACACGUGCUACAAUGGUUGGUACAACGAGUUGCGAGUCGGUGACGGCGAGCUAAUCUCUUAAAGCCAAUCUCAGUUCGGAUUGUAGGCUGCAACUCGCCUACAUGAAGUCGGAACCGCUAGUAAUCGCGGAUCAGCACGCCGCGGUGAAUACGUUCCCGGGCCUU
rnacentral:rRNA from 1 species